rnacentral:rRNA from 1 species
CCUACGGGAGGCAGCAGUGGGGAAUAUUGCACAAUGGGGGAAACCCUGAUGCAGCGACGCCGCGUGAGUGAAGAAGUAUUUCGGUAUGUAAAGCUCUAUCAGCAGGGAAGAAAUAAAGUCCUUCGGACUUUGGACGGUACCUUACUAAGAAGCCCCGGCUAACUACGUGCCAGCAGCAGCGGUAAUACGUAGGGGGCAAGCGUUAUCCGGAUUUACUGGGUGUAAAGGGAGCGUAGACGGCAGGGCAAGGCUGGUGUGAAAGCCCAUGGCUUAACCAUGGAACUGCGUUGGAAACUGUGCAGCUGGAGUGCAGGAGAGGUGAGCGGAAUUCCUAGUGUAGCGGUGAAAUGCGUAGAUAUUAGGAGGAACACCAGGGGCGAAGGCGGCUUACUGGACUGUAACUGACGUUGAGGCUCGAAAGCGUGGGGAGCAAACAGGAUUAGAUACCCUUGUAGUC